GGAGGGUGCAAGCGUUAUCCGGAUUCACUGGGUUUAAAGGGUGCGUAGGUGGGUUGAUAAGUCAGUGGUGAAAUCCCCGAGCUUAACUUGGGAACUGCCAUUGAUACUAUUGAUCUUGAAUACCGUGGAGGUCAGCGGAAUAUGUCAUGUAGCGGUGAAAUGCUUAGAUAUGACAUAGAACACCAAUUGCGAAGRCAGCUGGCUACGCGAAUAUUGACACUGAUGCACGAAAGCGUGGGGAUCAAACAGGAUUAGAUACCCUGGUAGUCCACGCCCUAAACUAUGGAUACUCGACAUCAGCGAUACACUGUUGGUGUCUGAGCGAAAGCAUUAAGUAUCCCACCUGGGAAGUACGAUCGCAAGAUUG
rnacentral:rRNA from 1 species